CUACGCACUCCUACGGGAGGCAGCAGUGGGGAAUAUUGCACAAUGGGCGCAAGCCUGAUGCAGCCAUGCCGCGUGUAUGAAGAAGGCCUUCGGGUUGUAAAGUACUUUCAGCAGUGAGGAAGGUGGGUAUGUUAAUAGCAUAUUCAUUUGACGUUAGCUGCAGAAGAAGCACCGGCUAACUCCGUGCCAGCAGCCGCGGUAAUACGGAGGUGCGAGCGUUAAUCGGAAUUACUGGGCGUAAAGCGCAUGCAGGUGGUUUGUUAAGUCAGAUGUGAAAGCCCGGGGCUCAACCUCGGAAUUGCAUUUGAAACUGGCAAACUAGAGUACUGUAGAGGGGGUAGAAUUUCAGGUGUAGCGGUGAAAUGCGUAGAGAUCUGAAGGAAUACCGGUGGCGAAGGCGGCCCCCUGGACAGAUACUGACACUCAGAUGCGAAAGCGUGGGGAGCAAACAGGAUUAGAUACCCUGGUAG
rnacentral:rRNA from 1 species